UCCGUGGCCAGUUGGCUUGGUCUGGCGGUCGACGAUUUGUGUUUGAUCUGGCUUCGGACGAACGCUGGCGGCGUGCUUAACACUUGCAUGUCGAACGGAUGUUAGUGGAUGCUUUGCGAUUUGUAACUUUAGUGGCGGACGGGUGUGUAACGCGUGGAUAACCUGCCUACAUGACCGGGACAACACCGGGAAACUGGUGCUAAUACCGGAUACGCUCACGAAUGCACAUGCAUAUGUGAGGAAAGGAGCAAUCCGCAGGUAGAUGGGUCCGCGUCCCAUUAGCUAGUUGGGGGUGUAAAAGACCACCAAGGCGACGAUGGGUAGCCGGCCUGAGAGGGUGGACGGCCACACUGGAACUGAGACACGGUCCAGACUCCUACGGGAGGCAGCAGUGGGGAAUCUUCCGCAAUGGGCGCAAGCCUGACGGAGCAACGCCGCGUGAGUGAAGAAGGCUUUCGGGUUGUAAAACUCUGUCUUCAGGGAAGAAAGAAAUGACGGUACCUGAGGAGGAAGCCCCGGCUAACUACGUGCCAGCAGCCGCGGUAAAACGUAGGGGGCGAGCGUUGUCCGGAAUUACUGGGCGUAAAGGGCGCGUAGGCGGUUUCUUAAGUCAGAGGUGAAAACUGUGGGCUCAACCCACAGCCUGCCUUUGAAACUGGGAGACUUGAGGGCAGGAGAGGGGAGUGGAAUUCCCAGUGUAGCGGUGAAAUGCGUAGAUAUUGGGAGGAACACCAGUGGCGAAGGCGGCUCUCUGGCCUGUUUCUGACGCUGAGGCGCGAAAGCGUGGGGAGCAAACGGGAUUAGAUACCCCGGUAGUCCACGCCGUAAACGAUGGGUGCUAGGUGUAGGAGGUAUCGACCCCUUCUGUGCCGUAGUUAACACAAUAAGCACCCCGCCUGGGGAGUACGGCCGCAAGGUUGAAACUCAAAGGAAUUGACGG
rnacentral:rRNA from 1 species